UAGACACUGAGCUCUAGUCGAUUUUCCUACUGCACAUGCACAAAUCUCCAGGGAAGUGUAAUUUGUGCAGCGCUGCUGUUGCAGUACUCUGGAGACGUUGAUACCAGUCUGUGCAUUGCAUACAUGUUGUUAUGGUGACGGGGAGCACGUGAGGUGGACGCCAAGGGAUGACAUCACUCACUAUACGCCGUCUGGCCAGGAGAGCAGUCCCGCGUCCGGAAGCGGCAUUCACGUGGGGGUGAUUUCUUAUAAAGUGUCUGCAGCCGGGAAAAGGUGUACAUUGCCAAGAAACAUAGCUAUGUGAAGACAGAUUGCGGAUUUGAGACUUUGUGGGAUCAUCUUCUUUGUAAACGAGCGCUUGGAACACUUGGAUAUUUCCAUUGGGCUCAGCUGGAGGGAUGAAGGUCAUCUGCACUUUGGUCACCUCAUUUGGAAUCUUCUGAAUCGUUAUGUUUUUAGGUGGCUCAUUUGGCACUAAAACAAAAUAUUAGUGCUAUUAUUUCAUUAUUUCAAUAAUUUUAUAGUCAAAUCAAAUGAAUUCACUUUCAAAGACAUAUUGUCAAGUUUUGCAAACUGUGAAAAUAAUUCUGGCAUAAUGCACCUACUAACGUGAAAUAAAGGACAUUUAUGCUGUGGUCCUACAAUUCCAAAGUAACUUCUCAUCUUGUUAUCUCUUAUAGUAGGUAGCGUAAUAUUCCUUUUAAUACAUGAGUAGUUGUUUUUUUGGCUAGCAUUUGAUGAUGCCAGAACAUACUAAAGGAUAUAAUACACUGUUUCUAUAAUAAAUAUCCACACAACUUACAGUAUGUAUUCUAGUAAAUUCUAGACAGACAUGAGAUGGACAGGUGAUGAGAGAUAGAAAUUACAAUCUUAAAUAUAUGUUUCGGAAGAAUAAUACGCUAGCCAGCGGACUAGGACGUAUUUUGUCUGGAGGGAUGUGAAGCGCUUAAGUACGAUAAUGGCAGGAAAUCUUUCUAUGUAGUUUAUAGGAUAAAGAAUAAUUAGAACACUCAAUGGACUUACAAAGGUUGUGGUGAUCCCUAUCUAAUGAAAGGCAGAAAAAGGUUCACAACACAUACCUGCCUC